GUUCAUGUAGCUUAAAUAUAAAGCAAAGCACUGAAAAUGCUUAGAUGAAUCUUCACGAUUCCAUAAACA
rnacentral:tRNA from 1 species